GGACGUGUGGCCUAGCCUGGAUAUGGCACCAGCCUCCUAAGCUGGCUGUCGGGGGUUCGAAUCCCCCCACGUCCG
rnacentral:tRNA from 1 species